CUAGUCUCGGAGGACUGCGAGCCCCGGGUCUCCUGGCACGGCGCCCGCGGAGUUGAGGCGCUCACGGCUCGGGCUCAGCAACUCCCGGCGCAGGCUGCACGUCUUUGUAGCACUGUUGGAGGAACGAGCAUGGAGAGGGAGUGGGAAGGGGAGAGGUGUCUUUGUGGCAACAAUGAGUGAAUCUUCUCUAGUUUUUUUACUGGUGGCUGCUUUUUUUUUUCCCCGUGCACUUUUUUUGUUUCCUUUCUUCUUUAAAGGAAGAGGAUCUUAAGAAAAAACCCCACAACCUUCUCUGCAUUCCCCCCCCCCCCCCCCCCCCCCGCCCCGCUUCCCCCUCUCCCCCUCCCCUUGAUGUGGCCUCUUGUUUAGCUUGUGGCGUGACCGUGAUGAAGAAAUGUUUCUGGGCGCCUGGCAGGGUGAUCUUUUUAUGUAAUGAGUCAGGAUUUUGCCAACGGAAGGAGCCGGCUGGGAGCGAGGACCGGAGGGCUGUCUCCUUCAGGAACGGGAACUGCCGGGCGAGCGGCACCCUCUCCUCGGGAUCCCCGCCCGCCUCGGGCGUCCGUUUAUUCACGGCUUGCGGGGGCACCGGCAAGCGGUGUGUGUGCUGGUUACACGGCAGCUCGGCCAGGACAGCGUUCUCUGGGUCUGUCUUCUGGUUAUUGAAAGCAGAAGUGUAACAGUGGCUUCUCGAGCACACUGAUCGGUUUCUUUUAAAGUAACUGACAGCAUUUACCUAUUUCACUCAUCCAAGUGUAAACUGCAAUGCUUUUACACUCGGACUUUAUUUAGAAGUUCUGUCGGAAUGACACACCGAGGAUUUAGAGAGUAUGUUCCUUUUGUCUCCACACCUUUACUUUUCCUCCCCCCUUUCAAAGAAGUUCUUAAGAAAUGUAAUGCUGAGGGUAGUAAGAUUUAGACACAUGGCUGAAUACUUGAAACCACCACUGGCACUGGGAGGAGACCUAACUACAGGGGCAAUAUUUUCUAGUUUAUCGUACAAAUAACAAAUUGAGAAUAAGGACAGAUUCUCUCCAUCAUGUGCCAACUUAAGUUUGAAACACAGUGGAACAGAUGAACGAGCAAGGUGCUGCUUGCUUACUUAAUAAAUAAAUCACAAAAUGUGAAUAAAAUCAAAUAGUAUCUGUUAGCAAUUCCUGCUGUCCAGAAAGUGUAAGACUGUAAAUUGUGACUUGGCUACAACAUUCUCUCUUACUAGGCUGAAAUUUACUCACUUUAUAAGCAAUGAUUCUCUCAGUCGAUUGGGCAUAUCUUACACAGAUACUUUACUUACAAAUAGAAUCUCAGAAGGUUGUGGUUCCAGAGUCGGGGUUUUGGGGGCGAGAUGAGCUUAUGUUUUAUCCAACUGGCCCACAAAGUCCCGCUUUUGGUGGUCACUUUGUUCUGCAAAAGAAACCAGUACGUUAUGGGUCUUACAGUGGACAUUAAACAUAGUAAGCAAACUACUGCUGCACUUAGUAAAAGGCUACUAUACACUUUAAAUAAAUAAUAACAUUUCAACUUUGAUGUUGUCUUCAGUGAUAAAAAGCAGACAGAGAAUUUAUCAUUCUGAAAGUUAAACACACAAAAAAAUCCCCAAACCCAAGUUUUCUAACUGUUGGUGUUUUUCUCUUAAAAAGCCAGCAAAGGCUGUAGAAAAAGUUAUGUUUCAAAGAGUGGUCAUUCAAUAUAGGUGAAUUGUGAUAAAAGGAAGUAAGUCUCUAAGAAAAGAGAGGCAGUUUAAACUGUGAAAACAAUGUAUGAACACCAGUAACAUUUGUAUUGUCAAUCCCCUCCUCAGUUUUUCUGCUCACAAAGUGUUCAGUUUUAAUGUAUCCCUUCAACUAGCUGGGGUUUUUUGUGUGCCUGUUUGUGUGUCUACAUGUGUACAGUCUAUAUCUACGAAUCAAUUUAAAGAUUAGUAAUUUUUCUACUGCUAAAAGUUGUAGAAUAUAUUUUUAUGAGUAAGGCACUGUAAACCCGAGCUUGGUAGAGCUGUUUAAGUUCCUGUUACUAUUUACAUUUUGUUACUGAUAUCCUAAAGAAUCUAAGCAUAAUUUUUACUUUAAAAUCAUGUAGUUGUACUUUCCUCAUGGAUGUUGAAAAUAUGUUAGUAGAUAAGCUGAACUUUCUUGUGGUUCUAAAUAUAAUGUACAGACAGUUAAGACUGAAUGAAACACAUGACACACUAUAUAAUUUAUACAAUGGCUCAUAUAUACAGCACAUGCACACAAAAUACAUACAGGAGCAUCUUCUUAGUUGGUGUAAACGUGUCUGUCAUAGUUUUGACAUUUUAUGCCAGCUAAUCACCUGCUUAAGUUACACAUAAAUAUCUAGACAAUCACACUGUGAUCACAUUAUCAUUGCAUUCAGAUUAAUUUUAAGUGGUGAUCUACUCAACCUGGCUCAAUUUGAGUAUCUCAAAAAGGCCUGGAAAUUCAGCUGAAGUUACACAGUGAUACAGUGUGAAAGUAAAGCUGUUGGUAUAUGAUAUAUAGCAUGAUUAUAUGCAGGAUCUCUAUAUUCAUACAAAUGGAUAUCAUGCUGAAUGAUCCAGAUUUUUCUAUGGAAUUCUAGUAUUUUACAUUUUAUAGCAAUAUAAUCACUACACAUGUGAAAUAGGACAUAUCCAAACCCCAGUGCAACAAAUUUCUCGCUUGUUUAAUGCUGAAAUCUGAUGUGGAAGAGCUUGGGUCAGAAUUGUGCUGCUAAUAUGCCUUCUAGAUACUAUUUUGCAUGAAAUAAUGCUGUUCAAAAGCAGCACUUGUGAGAAGGUUACAUUUUCAUGAACCAAUUAAGCUACAAAUUUAACUGUUGAAAUUUUUUAUUUUUUAAUUAUAGUACUCUGUGUAUGAAUACAUUCUAGAUCUGCCCAAUAUUACAAGUUGUCAGAUUUGGAUUGGUUUAAUUCCUAUGGUCUUUUCACUAGUAUUCUGAAAACAUAAGAGCAGAGAAUCCGAGAUUAGAAAGUGUGUCAGUGUGAGGACUUUGCUUUGAGGGAGAAGAGAAACAAGUCGACUUACAUAUCUGAACAGCAGCAAAGAUCAGCUCUGCUCUGCUGAAAUAGAGCAGUUGCUUCUCACCAACUAUUACUUUUAAAGCUCUUACAUUAAAACAUGUAGUUUUGUAUAGCUACUUUCAGUAAGAUAUGCUUUAUGUAGCGCAUUUUGUUAACCAGCUAUUUUUAGAUAUUUUUUCAAAUAGCUUCUAUUUGAGUCUCUACUGAAGAUACAUAAAUUUCACAUCCAUUCCUUCUAGCACCAAUAACCUAGCUUUAGAAUUAAUAGACUAUGUAAAUGAUUAAUGAGCAGUGUUCAAGAACACAGUUACAGUUCUGUAGGAAGGCCUUCCUCAUACAAAAUUUUUACUCACAUUUUCCCCCAUUAGUAAGCUUACAGAAAGAGCUCCUGUUUGUCUCUAGUGUGCAAUAAAACAGACAAUUUUCUACUACUAUGGAUGUCGCGCCUAAUAUUAAACUUUAAAUAUGUGUUCAUUUUAUAUGUGUCACCCAAAUUAAUGAUGAUUAGACAAAACAGUGAUAGACUCCUUAAAUAUCUGUGCUAUAAAAAUUCGAUCUCUUUUCCUCACACUGGUUUUCCCACAAGGUUUGCGUGCAGCAUGGGGUGGUGGCCUCAGAGCUGAGACUCCUGAAGUGCAUUGCGUAUCCAAAGCGUUAAUAAUUAAAUACCUGGGAUCAGUCUAUCUUGCUAUUUGAAAUGAAAAAAGAAAUUUACAGAAGAUAAAAAGUAGAUAGUAUGUUUUGAAUCAAAAUUAAUUUUCCUUGAGAUAAAAAAGUAAUGAAUUAUUUAAAAAAUAUUUAGAAAUAUCAACUCCAAUUAUUUAUUGCAUUUAUAAUUUAUAAAAGUGAAAUCCCUGCUAGCUAUGUUUCUAUUUAAAAUAAUUUUUAAACUACAUUUUUAGAACUACUUUUCUGCAUUUUUAAGCAACCCUUUAAAAAACACCCUGCUUACAAACAUUGAAUCAGCAGAGGAUUAGCAAAUGGCCUAAUCUGUUUACUUUUGAAAUUUUAUUGAAAGCAGUGAAAAGACCAGGAUCUCGACCAGAAUUCAGUGCCAUGGGUUGGGAAUUGGGCUGUGGCCUGCAUUUUCUGAAGCAGGGCCUCAACCUUUGAUAUCUCCUGACCUCAUGUUGCAACAGAAAAGUUUUGUGACUCCCCUCUGAUCUAGCCAUAGAAGAAAAAAAAAAAAAAAAAGAGAGAGGGAGGUAAUGACCCCGAGUUUGGAAACUCAUGACCUGGAACAACUAAAAAUUUUGCCUUAGUGAAGGCUGCAAAAUCAGUCAUCCCUUCCUAUGAAGCUAUCCAGGGUUUUUCCAGGGCAAGAACACAGACACCCAAGGUAUGAUUUUUAAAUUGUGCCUUGUUCUUUGCCCUCUGUUAGACGUUACACAUCAGCACUGCUUGCCUGAGAAAAGCCUGGACCUCAUGCCACAAGGAAAAGUUAUGUGAACAUACACCAGUAUGUUCAGAACAUAUUUUUCAAAGGUAUCACUCAAAAAUCCUUUUUUAUUUGCCUUAAAUAUCAUAUUUAGCAGGUUGUGAAGCAAAAAAAAAAUUGCAAGAUUUGUCAUGGCUUUAAAUUAUUAGAGCAAAACCACUGCUAUCACCUGGAAGUGUAAGAAGACUGUAGUGGAAGAAGUGGUAGAAAAGUGGUUAUUUCACAUGAACUGCCAAAACCACUUCAGACGAUGUGGCUUGAGACUAUGAAGCUUCUAGUGAAAUUAAUGAAUUUAAGGCAUCAUUUGCUUUGUUCACAGUGCACAUCAGUUAAUAAAUACGCAAAUCUCUUCUUGGAAUGUCAUACACUGUUCGCAGUCAAACAGUGCAAAUGUAGGGAAUUUGGUAAAGGUACAAACAUGGAAAAAAGGAACAAAGAAUCAGCCUUUUUUGUCUGCUGUCAAAAUGCCUAAGUAAUUUCUGUUUACAAGGUUUCGGUGCAAGGGCAAUAUUUAUGUAGGUGACAUGAAUGGACAGAUGUUAUUCAGCUUGUGGAUUUUUUUCAGAACAUUUCUACAACAUGUGCAGAAUAAAUAAAGAUAAUAGGAUAAUAGGAAUAGAAAUAAAACCCCAUCUAUUACUGAGGUAACUUGCUUUGUGAGGUAGCAUAACGAUCACAUGUUAGCAGUUGGUUUCAGGAGGUUACCACCAAUUUCUGACUCCCUGCUGGAUAUAAGGCUCUUCAAUUGUCAACAUUUUAUUUUUCACAUUGGAAACAUAAUUCUCUACAGACAGGCUCCACAGUUGUAAAAUUUUAUUUUUUUUCUUUUCUGUUUAGAGAAUACCUGCUCCUAGCUGAGCUCAAAGGUCUUAAAAAUGAUGCAUCAGUCCUAUCUGAUUUCCUAAUGUUCUGAAUGCUGACAUCAUUGAUACACAUUAAUAACUUUAAACAAAACUAUUUUGAUCUUUUCAGUUAAUACUGCUGUAAUAUUUUAGCUUAGCUGUUAAUGGGGAAGACUACAAUUCACCAAUGUAAUGUAGCAUUGAUGCAUUUUUGCUAUUUUAAGUCUCCCAGCUUCAGUCAGACAGUCCAAAUCCUUUUACUGGAAUCAUGACCUUUCUAUAUGAAUUGAUAUAAAAUCAUAGCUAGACACCAGUUCUUUAAAGUAAUAGCUUUUCUUUUGCUUUGUAGGUCAGAAUAAGAAUUAAAAAGACAAAAAGACAAAAUGUGUUCUGUCAUCUACAACAAGGCACAUGUAAACGGUUUUAGGAAAGGGCGAGAAAAAUAAUUUCAGGACGUUUUAGGAUUGGCCCACAAGGGUCAGUAAAAAUAACUGAAUGCAGUAAUUUUACUGAAGAGGUAUUUCUAUUUGUUAUAUAUUGCUAUUGUUAAAAAUGUCUGUUGGAGUCAGCAUAAUCUAGAUUUUUGCUUUGAUGUUGCUGCUGUUUGUGUAAAAGCUUUCUUUUGUAAAAAGAGGCUAAUUUCAAAUCACACAAACUUCACACACCUCUGUCAGUAGGUGUCUGCCUGGAUGCUGGUAUAAGUCCACAGUAUUUCUCUCCACUGAAAUCACUGGACCUACAUCAACAAAAAAUACAGAUGAAAUCACAGCAAAAUUUCUGGAACCUGAGGAGAGAACCGGGUUCGUGUUUUUGUGUUACAAGACAGACAAAGAACAAGUGUAUUACACAGAACAUCAUACUAAAUAAUAUAUGAGGAACUAAGCUUUGCUUUUUUCAACAAUAUCAUUACUUUUUAUACAUUGCCACAAGAAUCUGUUGAAGAAUAUUCCUCUUAGGUGCUAUUUACUGUGGAUUAUUUUAAAAAGAGUAACUUUUCAUUAGGCACAUCAGUUAAAGAGGGAUAACUAAAAGUUCCAAUGUCCUACCUGUUUUACUAAGGAGAUUUCUAAACAUGGAAUAUCCAGUCUUUACUAAAUUGGGAUACUUCUUUGUCUUUUUACUAUGAGUGAGUGGUGGUUUUGUGUGUAUGGAAAACUGCCCACAUGGUUGGUUGGAGAAAUAUUCUGAAAUUCUUUACAAUGAAAGAUGUUACAGGAUUUUAUUUUGUUUCAUUGUCUGCUGUAAACUAAUGUUUGCUCUGUCACUGAAGUAAGAGUGACAAAUAAGAGAUGCAGGUCAACUGUUAAUGAUGAGUAUUCUGUGGUUGUUUUUUUGCUUUUUGGGAGCUGAAAGAACAGAAACUGUCCUGGAUUGUCUGUGCUUUAUGCAUUUUUAGCUUCCCAAUACUAACAGUAUUUCUAAGAUAGCUGCUUCAGAAUUCACUUUGGUGAAUGGACAGAACAAUUUUAUACCUCCAAAGUGAAUGAGUUAGACGCUAUUUGAAAAACUACAAUUUUUGUAUGCAGUGGACUAACAGGAAAUUAUGAAAUCCUGAAAUAUUGUUGGAAAAUUGUUCUAACUUUAAAAAUUUUUCUUUAUAGUUGCAUUCUUGAUGUUCCACAGCACUCACCACUUCCUGCAUGGCUCUUACCGCAGGGAAAAUGAGGGACUUUUGGGGGCAGAUGUGUUUCCAUUACACUAUCAUAAUGCCCCUAAAAAUCCUUAUUGCUCUUGCAGUAUUCUUCUGUGUUGCUGGGCCUGGUGUGAACUCCUUGAAGACCUAGCAUAUAAAUACAGCUUUUCUGUAAAAACAUUUUAAAAAACCCCACCGAGUUUUAUUUUGUUUAUCUUAUAUUAUUUUUAGUUGUGUUUACUGUUGCUUAAAAUAUAAAUGGCAAGAUAGGCAACCACCUGUUGGUAAACAAAUGUCAUAAGUCAUAAAUCCAAGGGACAUGCUGAUAACUGCAUAGUAUUAUGAAAAGAAAUAUAUUUUGGCUUAAGAGUGAGAGCUUCACCUUUUUGGUAUGAUUAACUUGUUUUUAACAUAAGAAUUCAGCAUGUAUGUCUCUGAAAACAUGACACAGAUAUUGCAGGCUAAUUUGAACUACAGCUAUAGUGAACCUCACUUAGAAUAUUAACCGCUUUUAAGAACACACAUGAGGCCGUUUAUCAAAUGCAUAGAUCUGCCCAGUACUUCUAUUUAAAUUAAAUGCACAAAAAUAUUCAAAUAAAAUUUUCAUGCAGUCCCAAAAUACAUUUACAAUUAAACCUAGAAAAGACAUUGUAGAUUCUCAGCUAUUCCAUGCUUACUCAGCUUGCCAGGUUUUUGUGUGGAUAUUUCUCUUGCAGGGGCUUUUGAGGAAGGAUGGACGGCAUAGUCUACUGGUAAUGCAGUUGUCCUGUGUUGCUUUUCGCUCUACCCCUCUGGGUGAGCAUGAGAGAUCCCCAGGACAGGAGGGCCCACACUUAGUCUCUCAGGCAGUUUAUUCCUGCUAGGUGGCAAGUUCCCCUGAAGCCUGCAGAUCUCCACAGUUCCUGAAGGAAAAGGCCGAAUGUAUAAAUGCAAAUGUCUCUUGGUUCUGUCUGGGUAUUGCAGCACAACAUAUCAUCAGUUUGACAUGUGCAGUAUUAGUGACAUUUAUUUCAGUAGCUGGGUGUAGGACAGUACUAUAACUGGUUUGUGUUAAAUGUACUUGACUGACUAGCUUAAAGGAAAUAACAUAUAGAAGGUAUCAUAUCAUCCCUCUGACAGUAUCUAAUAUCUAUAAAUGACCUUCAAAAUAUUUGGUGACAUAGGAAAGAAACUAGUAGGGUAGAUUAUCCCUGCCCCUUUUAUAUUAAAGUUUAAUCCCCAAGGAAAUGCUCUUCUUCAUUCUGCUAAAGGAGUGUUUCUCAUUUUUCAGGCAGGAAAAUCUUACAGGUUAAGUCAUGUUCUAUAGGUCACAAAGCAAGCUUGCUGUUAUGACUGGAACCCAGAACUUUUGAUGCUCAGAUAAAUACCACAAGAAAAUUACUUUCUAGAAGGACAGAAUGAGCCCUGUUGCACAAUAUUAUAUUCACAGGUCAAAACAUGCUGGUAUAUGCAUUUCAAUAUACAACGUUUCAAUGUGCAACAGCAUUUCAAAUGUAUGUAUAGGCAGAAAGCAGUGGAAAAACUAGUGAUUGUAUUAAUUCUAAAUUUUCUUACCAAUACUUCAGUGUUUCUAUACAGAUUGCAAGAUGAAUCCUAGCACCUUCCGACAUAAAUGAAAGGUGUUGUAACACAGACCGGCUCAAGGCUUAUGCAGACCUUAAAAUUAUAAAAGUUACUUAGAAGGUAUUAGAUUAAUUGAAUGAUUAAUACUAUUAGUAAAGGUUUUUGCCAUUUGUGUGCAUGUUUAGCAAUCCUUUGAUUUCUAAGUAACACUCCUAGGUAAAGGCUCUGCAUCUAAUUGAAAAAUGUUUUAAAAAAAAGGGUGAGACCGCACAUACUCUGUGGAGUCCUGUAAUAUUUAAGGAUCAGUACUCUCAGAGCUAUAAAUUGUAUUGCCUUUAUAAAGAAGAUACUGCUAAUAUGAACAGACUGGAAUUUUGAUUACUUUUUAAAAGUCUUUUGGGGGCUAUGCUAGUCACAAUACUAUGUAAAGAAUACUGUGGUAGAUCUGAGCAUUAAAACUGAUCUGAUUUUGUCUUUGUCCUAUGUUACAAUCUCAUCUUAUAUGUAAUCUUUCAAGGAUAUCAGAAUUAUUUUUUUUUUCCUUCAAUGUAAGCAAUCUUUCAUAAAAUUUCUUGCACAUAGAACUUGUAGAUCUUAACAGCUGAUUCUUACAUGCCUACAUACAUACAGGACACAGCAAAAGUCAGAUUCCUUCUGAACGUGUGCUCUGUAAAUAUGUAAAGGUGUAUUUAUCAUAUGACACUGCUAUCAAGAAAAAUAUUUGCUUAGGCCUAGAAAUCCUGAGAUUAAAUCCAAGGAAGGGAAUCAAAAUCAGUAACACUACGCUCCAGUCCCUUUUGUAUCUAAUAGGAAUCACCUGACAUGCAGUUGUCAUUUUUUACACAAUUUUAUCACUGAAUAAUAUGCAUUAGAAAAUGAGAGCCAAGCACAUGGUUUGAGAUGUGUACUUAAACUUCUGAAUUCAAAUAUGUGCUUCAAAUUGUGUAUUUUAAAAAAUUAUUUUGAUUUGAAAUAUUAUGUUAAAAAACUCUCUGGAUCUGAUACAGCCCCAGAGGAAGGACUGCAAAACUCUUCUGUAAGACUGUCCACUGAGGCUAACAGCACCUCGUCUGUGAAUAGGGUGUGAGUAGGUUUCAAUAUUAAAUACUUUGUAGAAGAUAAUUUUGCUGUCUGGUUGUUUUUUAAAUAUAGGUAAAGAAAAUAUUUCUAUUAGCCCCUUCUUGGGGAUUUUGAUUUCUUUUAAUUAUAGGACCAAGAGUCAUUAACAUGAAUGAACAAAUUCUAAAAGUUAGAACAGUAGCAACUAGGUAAUAUUUUUCAAAUAGAAUUUCCACAGUGGAAAAGAUAUUAAAUGUUUGUUAUGUGCCAAUAAAUGAGUAAUACCAGCAUACUUUCAUUAUUUUACAAAAUGGAAGGGCAUUAACAACAUUUUACGUUUUUAUUAUACAGAAAGUUUUUUGAGUGCCAACGAUCCCAUAAUAGAUAAACAAAAAUAGCAGAAGAGACAUGCAGUUAUUAAAUAGGCUGAAUAAGUUAACCAAUCACACUUAUGUAUUGAAUAAGCCCAUUAUUAUCUCAAAUUUUGAACAUUACCUCAACUGUAUGUACACUGACUAUUUAAAAUGUUAUUCAGAAUACAGAACUUGGCUCAUCCAUUUUAAUAAUAUUUAUUUAUUUACUAUGUUAUUUGACUUCCAAUAUGUUAGAUCCAGUUUCUUACUGAAUUAAGAUAGCAUCAAUUCUGCUUCAGUCACUACUCAAGGGAUACCACUGGAGCUCCCUGUGCCAUUACCUGGUACAUAUGUCCAUAACAUACAUAAAUAACAGGAUCAGACUUUGAAUGCAGGAAGCAGUACUGCACCGGUAUCACAAUGAAGCUGUUCAGAAAAGCUAGGAUAAGCCGUUUGGUUUCGCACUGUUAAGAGAAAGAUGUGGGAAAGGAAGAGCUAUAGCAGAGUAGCAAGCCAACUGCAAGAGAUAAAUCACUACUCAGAUGCUGUAAAUAAGUUUAUAGAAUAAAGACCUAACUAGUUUUCUGAACAGGGGACCAGACUGUGGCCAGAAGUAAGGGCAAAGGAAGAAGACUAGUAUUCGUGAUGAGUCUGCAAUGUAUCUUUUCCUUAACUGGUUAGUUUUGGGAGCAGGAAUGCAUAAAAAAAUAAACUUUUUAUUAAUAAAAGGUCAUUAAUAAAUGGCCACUACUGCACUUCUCAAUUCUACUAAACUGCUUCAGACUUUGUUACUUUGUUGCCAUUGAUGGCUGACUAAGUAUGUGUAAAUGGUUUUGUUUUCAUUUUCCUUAGAUUUUAAAUGUGCAUAAACAUUUUUAUUCCAGAAUUUUAACCACCAGUGCCAAGAUUCUGACUCAAGUGGAUCUUUACAGUUGUAUUAAAAACAAGUGCAAAUGUAAGUUAUGAGAUACAGUGUUGACGUAAUCUUAAUUAUAGCUGGAAGAAGAUUUGCCAGUGUGUAUACAGUGUAGCAAUACAAGGAAUCAUUGUAAACUAAUAAAGAUCAUUAAAAUAAAUCACACAUUUCAUAACCAUGCUUUCAUCAAGAUAAUAUGACCUGUUUUACAUUUAAGCAGUUAAAAUAGAAGCUGAAAUAUUUGGAGAUGAUUAACUUAUCCAGUAGUCAGAUUAGACAGGUGAUAUUACGCGAUAAUCUACUGAGGGACUGGAAUUCUUAACCAAAAUGAUUUUUUGUUGAAUUCUGGGUUGUCAUCGUUUUUUUAAGAAAAAAACACUUAAAAACUUUCUUUACCUUUCCAAUAACAAAUUUAUUUUUUGUAUUCCUUUAAAAGAGAAAUCUAUGGUCUUGCUAUGACUGCUGUCUGAGGCUUUCUGAGAUCUCUGUGGUGAGAAACUAGAUUGCAGCAAAUUAAUUUUAUAUCAGAGGAAGCACUAAGAUAUUCAUAUGUAACGCCAGAGAAUCUGUCCUAGUAAUUUUCCAAGUUCUGAACUAAUCCAUAACAAAAUUAUCCCAUGACUGUAGUUGGCAGUAAAAACUGAGUGUGUCCAGAAGAUCUUCAGGUUAUAGUUUGAAUCAAACAUAGACUGUGUGACAUAAUCUGGACUCAUAUUCAAAUAAUCUAGGUUCAGUAUCUUGCUAAUUCAUAUAAAAUCAUCUUAUCUUCUAAAUCUGUUCUGUUCUGACUUGUACCAAAAUUUCACAAUAAUAUUAUUUUAAAACUCUGGGUGUAUCUAAAACCAAAAAGGAAAAUAUCCCCCUUGUUAGAACGUAUCUGAAAUGAAAAUUACAGAGUUUUGGUUCCAGUCUGAGCAUUAGGAGAUGAAUGUUUCAGAUUCAGGAGGUUCUGGAUUCAGGAUCUGGGCCCUGUUUUGCCCUCUAGGCACUCACAGGAAAGUGCAAAACACCUUCAUUAGAACUGAAGCAAGGUAAGGUAUGCAUGCACUUCACCUAUCAGAGGAGCACGUUCAGCUACCAGAAAAUUUCAGAGUGCAUUUUCAUCUGGAAUACUAGGCCAGGGCACAUCAGCUUUCACCUUAAACAUAGUAUAUUUCUGCGGCAGCUCUUUUCCUAUCUCCUCCUUUGCAGAUUAUCCAGUUAAUAAACAGAAAGUUCCAAGAAGUCAAAAAAACCUGCAAGACCAGAGACAACUCCUUUUCCAGAUACUCCUGCCAGAAAGUAAAGGCUGAGCCACAGCUGCAAUUUCCUGAUAAUGUACUUCUUGCUAACAUCCCAGUAUGGCGUAUGUGAGUGGAAAAAUUACACCAAUUAGUCAAUUCAAGCCUCCUGAUUUUCUUGUAAAGCAGGUCACUCCAUGCACCUUGUCCUGCAAAAGAGACAUGCAUCCAGUGUGGCAGGCUGUAUAAUAAAACCAUGGCUUUGCUGGGGGCUGCACAACACGUUGGUGCAUGUGAUAGAAGGAGACUGCAGUGCAAAGCUCGAUCUGAGGAUAAAGUACCCUCUGGCAGGACCCUGCAAGCAUGGUGGGAGGCUGGAAGACACCAGUUCAUUGCCUGCAGGGCAAUACUAUGGCUCUGUCCUUUGUGCUGCACGUACUAGUUGGGACUGGUCAGCAAGCUUGGUCACGAUUAUUUUUCUUUUUGCUAUUUUAUUAUUGCUAUUUUAUGUGUCUGGUUUUGUUGACUUUUUCUCAGACUCAUCCACAAGAUAGCAAGAAAUGGUGAAUUGCUGCAUUGUGAGUUUCAUCUCACCUAAGUCCCUAAGAAAAUUUCCUUUAUCAUUGUUAAUAACGGGAUUGAAAAAAACCCUACAACUCUGAUCCUGCAUAACAAACUGUUUAGCUACACAGUUUUAACUGAUUUCACUAGGAAUUAAUAUGAGCAGAGUAGUUUUGCAGAGUAUAUGACAAUACCUGUAAUAGCAAGUUUAUUGCACAAAAACAUUAACAUUCCUAAUGAAACAUAAUAAUGGGUGGCGUUAACAUUAUAUGUAUUAUAUAUUCAAGGAUGUAGUCUCACCUUUUAUAUAUAUCACACAGAACAGAACAAUUAUUUCCCACUCUACCUACAGAACACUUAAAGAACACUUCAGUAUUUCAAUGCUAAUGAAGCACAGUAUGGCAGUGUUAUGGCAGUAACAUGGAGUUUUAAACAUAUUUGGGAGUUCAGGACAUAAUUUCUGUUCUGUGACUCUACAUCUCUCAGUCUUGAUCUAUGUGUUUCACACUUGGGUGUUAAAAGAUUGGAAAGAACAAAUAAUAAUUUCAAGGGGCUGUACCUUAUUUUGGAACAUGUUUUGUACUUCAGGCUAUAGAUAAUUAUUAGCAGUCUUUAACAUUAGAAAUAUAGAAAAUUAUGUGCUGAGAAAAGGCAUGGGAAUGAAAAAAAAAACCCAACCCAAAAAUGCAGAGUAAACCAAAGCCUCUUUAGACUGUAGGCCACUUGCCAGCUUCUUAAAGGAACUUUCAGUUCUGCUGCUUGCUUUGAGUGUAGCAAAAAGAUAAACAUUUUCUUGUUGCAAGUUAGCAAACACUGCCAUGUGUCACAAGUUGAUAAGCAGUAUCAAGAGUUGUAUCAGGAGUUUCUUAGUUCAUUUGAACAAGAUAGAAACGUGCCGGAAAGUUUUGAUGUGCUGCUGAAAAAUGAAAAAAUUGGUCAAUACCCAAACUGUUCUGCUGAAAAAAGGUUUUCUAACCUUAAUAACAGGGGCUUUCAUUGCUAUAGAUAACUUUUCUUUCUGUUUGUGGUAAAUUCCUCAAUGUAUCUACCUCCUUUGUACAUUUUACAUUGUGGCUUUGUAUUUUCGAGUGGUACAAAUACAGGAGUCUAACUCCUACACUGAUAAACUUAAGCAACUAUGCUAAAGGCCAUGGCACAACAGACAGAAUUUGGCUUAGUGACUUUGUUAGAUGAAAAAUAAGCAUUUUCUGCUCUGUAUCUUUUCACAUUAACUGUGGAUGUGGGGAUCUUGUUUCAUGUUUUUACCUUUUGUAACUAUGAAAAAUUAAAUACUGUUCAUUUA